CGUGGUUCAUCCAACUCGCCCAAUGGCGAGUUGGAUUGGUCGAUUGGGCGAGUUGGAUUGGUCAAUCUAACUCGCCAUCGGGCAAGUUGGAUAAGCCACG
rnacentral:pre_miRNA from 1 species